rnacentral:rRNA from 1 species
UACGGAGGGUGCAAGCGUUGUUCGGAAUUAUUGGGCGUAAAGCGCGUGUAGGCGGUCUGUUAAGUCUGAUGUGAAAGCCCCGGGCUCAACCCGGGAAGUGCAUUGGAAACUGGCAGACUUGAGUACGGGAGAGGGUAGUGGAAUUCCGAGUGUAGGGGUGAAAUCCGUAGAUAUUCGGAGGAACACCGGUGGCGAAGGCGGCUACCUGGACCGAUACUGACGCUGAGACGCGAAAGCGUGGGGAGCAAACAGGAUUAGAUACCCUGGUAGUCCACGCCGUAAACGAUGGGUACUAGGUGUUGCGGGUAUUGAUCCCUGCAGUGCCGAAGCUAACGCAUUAAGUACCCCGCCUGGGGAGUACGGCCGCAAGGCUAAA